rnacentral:rRNA from 1 species
UACGGGGGGGGUAAGCGUUGUUCGGAAUUACUGGGCGUAAAGGGCGCGUAGGCGGCCGCCUAAGUCAGACGUGAAAUCCCUCGGCUCAACCGGGGAACUGCGUCUGAUACUGGGCGGCUUGAAUUCGGGAGAGGAAUGCGGAAUUCCAGGUGUAGCGGUGAAAUGCGUAGAUAUCUGGAGGAACACCGGUGGCGAAGGCGGCAUUCUGGACCGACAUUGACGCUGAGGCGCGAAAGCCAGGGGAGCAAACGGG